CGAUAUUUAGGCAAAAGUCGACAAGAAAUUUGAUUCUUGUGUUCGCCUCUUGCAAGGCUCGUCGGAAUCUCGUUGUGGUAUUGGAGUUGCUGUUUCUCUGCUCGUGGUUCUCGGUUUCGCUGCACCCUUGAAGGUAACACUCAUCUCUCUUCAAGCAUAUCUUGCUCAUAAUGUGUCGUCGCUUGAUUCUUAAUGCGUGAGCCGUCUGCGUGAUAAUGUUUGGAGAAUACUUCGACUCAUUGCUUAUCAUAAAUCAGUAUGUAGCUGGUUUGUCUGCUUCUGGACACUGAUAAGAGUUGAGUUUUUCCGCCUCAUUUGUCUAUUGCUGCAUCUGUUGAUUUAUGUUGGUUAUAUUGUGACCUGGACUUUUGCAAAUGUAUUGGAAUAUUGGGUUUUUAUUGUUAUUACUCUUAUUGUCCUAGUUUUUCUAUAACACCUCUAUGAUCGGUUUCAAAAUUCCUAUUAAUCUUAUUCUGUGUCUAUUUGUUGUAAAUAUGCUUAUGGCUCAGGUUCUAGUGGCAAAUCGUAAUGUAUGCUUCAUGUUUAUUUGGAUUUGUUCACUUCGAUUUAAUAAUGAAACUUGUCAAAAAUCGGUGCUUACCUUAGCCCAUAGGUUGUUAUCUCCGAUAAUCUUAUGUUGCUAUUCAGGGGUCAAGCGUGUCGAAUUAUUAGCAGUCUAUCUAGCUAACGGUGUUCAUCAUAAGUAGCGGUUAUAUUCUUCUCAGAUAGUAGCUUAAGCUUUAACUGAUUUUUACUACUUUAGCAUGAUAUAACUCACCAAAUAUUUGAGGAAUCAGAUUAUUUCCCUUGGAUUUUCACUGAUGGUUGGCCCGUACUUGAGUUACUGUAAGUAGAACAUUUGGUCACGACUCGUUAGCUUAUCCACCAUAUAUUUAAUUCUUCCUGCAAAUAUUCAAAUGCUUGUCCUAUAUAAAAAAAUAAUAAUAUAUAUAUAUAUAUAUAUAUUAAUUUCUAUCCAUUAGUUUAUAGUGUUAUUUCCAGUGAAGUCCUUGAAUAUGCAUUUUAGUUGUUUGUGCUAGUAGCUGUUCAAUUAAAUAAUCUUUUUAUGUCUCAUAGUUUGAUGAAUCCAUGGCUGUUUACUGCUUCUUCGUUAGUAAAAUCGCUUAAUGAUGAUCAUGAAUUACUCAUGUUAAUUCUUUCCUUCCACUUUCCUUACAUGUGAUGCUUCGCCGAGUCUAUUUGGACUUUUCCCAUUGCCUCUUUGCAUUUUCGAGUAUCGAGUCAGCCCUCCGAUGUUCAAGAGUGAAAUGGAAUUGGCGUACAGGUGUUUGGAGCUGAUAUACGGGAUUGUAUACAUUAGUAUACACCUAGUGUAUACGAAAAAAUGAAAAAUGGGCAUAAAGUAGCCUUAAAUUUUCAGCUUUUGUAUUUUUGUAAUUAUUGGACUAAAAGCCCAUUUAUUUUGAUUAUUAUUGUGUUAGUUUAGGACAGGUACCAAGUGUUGGGCCAAAAGCCCCAAAAGCAGAAAUCAGGCCCAAGUAUUGGUCCAGGCGAACAAAAAAAAAAAAAAAAUCCAAACUUGGGCCCAACUCUCUUUCCCUCUUUACUUUAUUGUGUUCAUUUACUUACUAGUAUUUGUCGUUAGUCUUAAGGUCGAAAAAUUCAAAUCCCCGAAAAACGUCUAUUUUGAUUUAAUAAUUUAACUAAACCAGUCAUCUCUUAAACAAGACUUAAAGGAAUAAUUUUGCAGGAUAGCUCACUUAGACAAUAUUUAAAUAUUUCCUCUUUUCCCCCUUUAAAAAUAAGUUUUAACUAUAAAAUAGAUCAAUUUCGCAAGUCAAGCUAAGUUAAAAUUAUUUUAGUCAAGUAGUUAAUCGUCGGAUAACCACAUUAGUGGAUAUUUUAGGUGUCUUUAAAACCAUCCUAGAAUAUUAAUAAGAACCUCGAACCCCCCUUUUAAAAUUUUCAUUAGAUUCCAUGUUUUAAUCUUUUGAAAAAAUAGUUUUCUUGAUUUUUCUUAAAAAUUAAGUGGCGACUCUAAACCAGUCCAAAAUAAUAUUUUCUUAAAUAAAACAAGGGCGAGUACGACAAAUCUGGUCCAUCCAUUGUCCACAAGAAGUGCUUCUAAGGUGUUGCUGCUAUUUUUACAUUUGUUCGCGAGUUCUUUUUUAUUUUUUUUGUUCUUUCUGCUAAAGCUAUUAUGUCAUCCACAGUGAACUCAGGUCUGCUGUUAUAGGCAAGUCAUCGAGAUGGGGCUAUCAAAGAAGGGUGAUUAAAAACAUUGUACCGCUGAUACUAUUUCAUGUUUCCAGUGCAAGCCUCUUUUGUAAGUUGACAAACUCGAUUUGUAAAUAUGUUUGGGACUCAACUAGUGGUUAGAGUAUUGAUUUUGUAAGAUUUUUGUCCAGAAAAUCAAAUUAGAAAGAUUACUCGCGAUGAUUGAAUAAGCUCGAAGAAGUGGAUUUGAAUUUCAAUUCGUGUCUUUUUUUUAUGUGUGUGUGUG
rnacentral:lncRNA from 1 species